rnacentral:sRNA from 1 species
AUGUACCACGCGUACACUGCGGUUCCUGCGCGCCGUCCGUACCCACCUGGCGACUGCUCGCUACGUUUUGUUAGCC